rnacentral:rRNA from 1 species
GACGAACGCUGGCGGCGUGCUUAACACAUGCAAGUCGAGCGGUAAGGCCCUUUCGGGGGUACACGAGCGGCGAACGGGUGAGUAACACGUGGGUGACCUGCCCUCAGCUCUGGGAUAAGCCUGGGAAACUGGGUCUAAUACUGGAUAUGACUCCACGGUGCAUGUCGUGGGGUGGAAAGCCUUGUGCGGCUGAGGAUGGGCCCGCGGCCUAUCAGCUUGUUGGUGGGGUGAGGCCUACCAAGGCGACGACGGGUAGCCGGCCUGAGAGGGCGACCGGCCACACUGGGACUGAGACACGGCCCAGACUCCUACGGGAGGCAGCAGUGGGGAAUCUUGCGCAAUGGGCGAAAGCCUGACGCAGCGACGCCGCGUGAGGGAUGACGGCCUGG